rnacentral:snRNA from 1 species
GAGGAGUGGGACAAGUUAGUGCAGAACCCAUUUCUUGCCUUUUACCAGAGAUGGCCGUGAUUUGCCCACAAAACUCCUCUCAUAAAUCUUUGGAAAUACACAAUGACACAGCUGUCAUUU